rnacentral:rRNA from 1 species
UACGUAGGGUGCAAGCGUUAAUCGGAAUUACUGGGCGUAAAGCGUGCGCAGGCGGUGAUGUAAGACAGCUGUGAAAUCCCCGGGCUCAACCUGGGAACUGCAUCUGUGACUGCAUUGCUGGAGUGCGGCAGAGGGGGAUGGAAUUCCGCGUGUAGCAGUGAAAUGCGUAGAUAUGCGGAGGAACACCGAUGGCGAAGGCAAUCCCCUGGGCCUGCACUGGCGCUCAUGCACGAAAGCGUGGGGAGCAAACAGG